rnacentral:tRNA from 1 species
GUGGGGUUGGUGUAACGGUAGCACCUCGGCUGGGAACGGUCGAUAGUGGAGGUUCGAAUCCUCUUCUCCGCU